AUUGAACGCUGGCGGCAUGCCUUACACAUGCAAGUCGAACGGUAACAGGUCUUCGGAUGCUGACGAGUGGCGAACGGGUGAGUAAUACAUCGGAACGUGCCUAGUAGUGGGGGAUAACUACUCGAAAGAGUGGCUAAUACCGCAUGAGAUCUACGGAUGAAAGCAGGGGAUCGCAAGACCUUGUGCUACUAGAGCGGCCGAUGGCAGAUUAGGUAGUUGGUGGGAUAAAAGCUUACCAAGCCGACGAUCUGUAGCUGGUCUGAGAGGACGAUCAGCCACACUGCGACUCGCACACGGUCCAGACUCCUACGGGAGGCAGCAGUGGGGAAUUUUGGACAAUGGGCGCAAGCCUGAUCCAGCAAUGCCGCGUGCAGGAUGAAGGCCUUCGGGUUGUAAACUGCUUUUGUACGGAACGAAAAGCCCUGGGUUAAUACCCUGGGGUCAUGACGGUACCGUAGGAAUAAGCACCGGCUAACUACGUGCCAGCCGCCGCCGUAAAAC
rnacentral:rRNA from 1 species